rnacentral:rRNA from 1 species
UACAGAGGUCUCGAGCGUUGUUCGGAUUCAUUGGGCGUAAAGAGCGUGUAGGCGGUUCGGUAAGUCUGUCGUGAAAUCCUGGAGGCUCAACCUCGGACGUGCGAUGGAUACUGCCGGGCUAGAGGAUGGUAGAGGCGAGUGGAAUUCCCGGUGUAGCGGUGAAAUGCGCAGAUAUCGGGGAGGAACACCAGUAGCGAAGGCGGGUCUCUGGACAGUUCCUGACGCUGAGGCACGAAGGCCAGGGGAGCAACGGG